CAGAGGUUACUGCUAUCSAGAUUCGACUAAGCCAUGCGAGUUGAAUGUUCUUCGUGAACAUGGCGGACUGCUCAGUAACACGUGGACAACCUACCCUUGGGUCCGGCAUAAUCCUGGGAAACUGGGAAUAAUUCCGGAUAGGUCACCGAUGCUGGAAUGCGCGGUGGCCGAAAGCUCCGGCGCCCGAGGAUGGGUCUGCGGCCUAUCAGGGUUGUAGUGGGUGUAACGUACCUACUAGCCUACGACGGGUACGGGUUGUGAGAGCAAGAGCCCGGAGAUGGAUUCUGAGACACGAAUCCAGGCCCUACGGGGUGCAGCAGGCGCGAAAACUUUACAAUGCGGGAAACCGUGAUAAGGGGAUCUCGAGUGCCAGCAUAUAAUGUUGGCUGUCCAGAUGCCUAAAAAGCAUCUGUUAGCAAGGGCCGGGCAAGACCGGUGCCAGCCGCCGCGGUAACACCGGCGGCCCGAGUGGUAACCGCUAUUAUUGGGUCUAAAGGGUCUGUAGCCGGCCAGGUAAGUCCCUUGGGAAAUCUGGCAGCUCAACUGUCAGGCUGCUAGGGGAUACUGUUUGGCUUGGGACCGGGAGAGGUGAGAGGUACCUUGGGGGUAGGGGUGAAAUCUUGUGAUCCUCGAGGGACCACCAGUGGCGAAGGCGUCUCACCAGAACGGGUCCGACGGUAAGGGACGAAAGCUAGGGGCACGAACCGGAUUAGAUACCCGGGUAGUCCUAGCCGUAAACGAUGCUCGCUAGGUGUCAGUCACGGUGCGACCGUGAUUGGUGCCGUAGGGAAGCCGUGAAGCGAGCCACCUGGGAAGUAUGGCCGCAAGGCUGAAACUUAAAGGAAUUGGCGGGGGAGCACYACAUMCGGGUGGAGCCUGCGGUUUAAUUG
rnacentral:rRNA from 1 species